AACGAACGCUGGCGGCAGGCUUAACACAUGCAAGUCGAGCGCCCAGCAAUGGGAGCGGCGCACGGGUGAGUAACACGUGGGAACGUGCCCUUUGGUUCGGAAUAACGUAGGGAAACUUGCGCUAAUACCGGAUAAGCCCUUACGGGGAAAGAUUUAUCGCCAUUGGAGCGGCCCGCGUUGGAUUAGCUAGUUGGUGGGGUAAAAGCCUACCAAGGCAACGAUCCAUAGCUGGUCUGAGAGGACGACCAGCCACACUGGGACUGAGACACGGCCCAGACUCCUACGGGAGGCAGCAGUGGGGAAUCUUGGACAAUGGGGGAAACCCUGAUCCAGCCAUGCCGCGUGAGUGAUGAAGGCCUUAGGGUUGUAAAACUCUUUCGGCGGGACAAUAAUGACGGUACCCGCAGAAGAAGCUCCGGCUAACUUCGUGCCAGCAGCCG
rnacentral:rRNA from 1 species